UACGGAGGGGGCUAGCGUUGUUCGGAAUUACUGGGCGUAAAGCGUACGUAGGCGGCUUUGUAAGUUAGAGGUGAAAGCCCGGGGCUCAACUCCGGAAUUGCCUUUAAGACUGCAUCGCUUGAAUCAUGGAGAGGUGAGUGGAAUUCCGAGUGUAGAGGUGAAAUUCGUAGAUAUUGGGAAGAACACCGGUGGCGAAGGCGGCUCUCUGGACCGAGACUGACGCUGAGGCGCGAAAGCGUGGGGAGCAAACAGG
rnacentral:rRNA from 1 species